rnacentral:rRNA from 1 species
GCCUGGCCCUAAAUCUUGAUGCUUCACCCCCUACUUAAGCAUCCGCCCGAGAACUACGAGCGCAAACGCUUAAAACUCUAAGGACUUGGCGGUGCCCCAAACCCACCUAGAGGAGCCUGUUCUGUAAUCGAUGAUCCACGAUACACCUUACCAUUUCUUGCAAGUAUCAGCCUAUAUACCGCCGUCGCCAGUCCACCCACCCUGACGGUUCAACAGUGGGCGCAAUAGCCUAACCACGCUAAUAAGACAGGUCAAGGUAUAGCCUAUGGAAUGGGAGUAAUGGGCUACAUUUUCUAGAUUAGAACAUGACGGCAAAGGGGAAUGAAACAUCCCUUGGAAGGCGGAUUUAGCAGUAAAGUGGGACAAUCGAGCCCUCUUUAAGCCGGCCCUGGGGC